GGAGUGAUACUCAAGAGGCUGAAGAGGCGCCCCUGCUAAGGGUGUAGGGUGGGUAACUGCCGCGAGGGUUCAAAUCCCUCUCACUCCGCCA
rnacentral:tRNA from 4 species